AGAAUCAACGCUGGCGGCGUGCCUAACACAUGCAAGUCGAACGAGAAAGUGGAGCAAUCCAUGAGUAAAGUGGCGACCGGGUGAGUAACACGUGACUAACCUACCUUCGAGUGGGGGAUAACCUCGGGAAACCGGGCUAAUACCGCAUAACAUCUUUGGAGUGGAAAUUCUGGAGAUCAAAGGAGCAAUUCGCUGGAAGAGGGGGUCGCGGCUGAUUAGCUAGUUGGCGGGGUAAUGGCCCACCAAGGCGAAGAUCGGUA
rnacentral:rRNA from 1 species